GCCCAAAGCGGACAAUAUCGUGCUACGGUGGAGUUAAGCCCGGAUGUGGUGGGGGCCCGGCCUGCUUUUCUUGUUGCUGUAUUACCAACCAAAGUGAAUAAGGAUGUCCAACUGAGUAAUGGUGGUGGUGUGAAGCUGCCAACAAAUGAUUUUGAGUCUGGAAAGGCAAGCGUUGUCAACUGCAAUCCCCGAUUGCUGCUGAAUGUUCUUAACUUUCUAAGGCGCUGUGGCAAGGUGCUGGUCAGUGCACUAAUAUUUUGGAAUGCCUGAAAAGCUCUGAAAUUUUCUGGAAAAAAUUGUCCAGUUCUAUUUCGACAACCUCUAACGUGGAAGCUCCUUCACCUGAAAAUAUAACUGAGACAGAAGCUGAAGAUUUGUCAUUCAGAUACCAGUGCCAAUCUGCCAUACUGGAAAUAAUAGCGCAUGACAUGUUCCUGCACAAAAAGCUGUUACAUGCUGAGUCAUUUGUAAAACAACUGCCUGAUCAG